CCCUUAGAUGUUCUGGGCCGCACGCGCGCUACACUGACGGAGUCAACGAGUUGUCCCGCAUCGGAAGGUGUGGGUAAUCUUUUGAAACUUCGUCGUGCUGGGGAUAGAUCUUUGCAAUUUUCGAUCUUGAACGAGGAAUUCCUAGUAAGCGUGAUUCAUCAGAUCGCGUUGAUUACGUCCCUGCCCUUUGUACACACCGCCCGUCGCUACUACCGAUUGAAUGGUUUAGUGAGGCCUCGGGACUGGCGCGCUCGAGUAGCAAUACACCUGCGCGCCGGGAACUUGGUCAAACUUGAUCAUUUAGAGGAAGUAAAAGUCGUANCA
rnacentral:rRNA from 1 species